UCUUCCCUCUUUCUUCGUGCCUAAUACAUGCAAGUCGAGCGAACAGACGAGGAGCUUGCUCCUCUGACGUUAGCGGCGGACGGGUGAGUAACACGUGGAUAACCUACCUAUAAGACUGGGAUAACUUCGGGAAACCGGAGCUAAUACCGGAUAAUAUAUUGAACCGCAUGGUUCAAUAGUGAAAGACGGUUUUGCUGUCACUUAUGGAUGGAUCCGCGCCGCAUUAGCUAGUUGGUAAGGUAACGGCUUACCAAGGCGACGAUGCGUAGCCGACCUGAGAGGGUGAUCGGCCACACUGGAACUGAGACACGGUCCAGACUCCUACGGGAGGCAGCAGUAGGGAAUCUUCCGCAAUGGGCGAAAGCCUGACGGAGCAACGCCGCGUGAGUGAUGAAGGUCUUCGGAUCGUAAAACUCUGUUAUUAGGGAAGAACAAAUGUGUAAGUAACUAUGCACGUCUUGACGGUACCUAAUCAGAAAGCCACGGCUAACUACGUG
rnacentral:rRNA from 1 species